GAUGAAGAACGUAGCGAAAUGCGAUACUUGGUGUGAAUUGCAGAAUCCCGUGAACCAUCGAGUCUUUGAACGCAAGUUGCGCCCGAAGCCAUUAGGCCGAGGGCACGCCUGCCUGGGCGUCACACGUCGUUGCCCCCCCAUCUACUCCUUCGGGAUUGCGGGGGGCGGAUGAUGGCCUCCCGUGCGCCUCGCCGCGCGGUUGGCAUAAAUGCCAAGUCCUCGGCGACGCACGCCACUACAAUCGGUGGUUGCGAAACCGCGGUUGCCCGUCGUGUGCGGUCGUCGCGCAUCGAGGGCUCGAAAAAAUUGCCGGGUUCCGGCUCGGCUUUCAACGCGACCCCAGGUCAGGCGGGGUUACCCGCUGAAUUUAAGCAUAUCAAUAAGCGGAGGA
rnacentral:misc_RNA from 1 species